CCAACGGGCGGCAGCAGUGGGGAAUAUUGCGCAAUGGGCGAAAGCCUGACGCAGCGACGCCGCGUGAGGGAAGAAGGCCUUCGGGUCGUAAACCUGUGUCUAGAGGGAAGAAACCAUUGAGGUCGAACAGGCCUCUUUGCUGACGGUACCUCUGAAGGAAGCACCGGCUAACUCCGUGCCAGCAGCCGCGGUAAUACGGAGGGUGCGAGCGUUAAUCGGAAUCACUGGGCGUAAAGCGCACGUAGGCGGUGUCGUAAGUCGGAUGUGAAAGCCCUCGGCGCAACCGGGGAACUGCAUUCGAUACUGCGACGCUUGAGUGCCGGAGAGGGUGGCGGAAUGCCAGGUGUAGGAGGGAAAUCCGUAGAUAUCUGGAGGAACACCAGUGGCGAAGGCGGCCACCUGGCCGGCAACUGACGCUGAGGUACGAAAGCGUGGGGAUCAAACA
rnacentral:rRNA from 1 species